ACCUUGGUGGUGUAGUGGUAGAGCGCUCCGCCGGGUAUGGAUGGAACGCGGGUUCAAUUCCCGUCUGUGGUC